GACAAACGCUGGCGGGGUGCAUGAGACAUGCAAGUCGAACGGGGUGCCAACGAGCUUGCUCGAUGGUUACCUAGUGGCGGACGGCUGAGUAACGCGUAGGUGACCUACCCGGAAGUGGGGAAUAACUGCCCGAAAGGGUGGCUAAUACCGCAUGUGGUCGGCGAUUCGAUUCGCCGUCCAAAGGAGAAAUCCGCUUCCGGCGGGGCCUGCGUCCGAUUAGCUAGUUGGUGAGGUAACGGCCCACCAAGGCGACGAUCGGUAGCUGGUCUGAGAGGAUGAUCAGCCAGACUGGGACUGAGAACGGCCCAGACUCCUACGGGAGGCAGCAGUCGGGAAUUUUGCCCAAUGAGCGAAAGCUUGAGGCAGCAACUCCGCGUGAGGGAUGAAGGCUCUCGGGUCGUAAACCUCUUUUCUCAGGGAAGAUCCAAGACGGUACCUGAGGAAUAAGCGACGGCUAACUACGUGCCAGCAGCCGCAGUAAAAC
rnacentral:rRNA from 1 species